rnacentral:tRNA from 1 species
CAGGUAGCUCAGUUGGUAGAGCAGAGGACUGAAAAUCCUUGUGUCGGUGGUUCAAAUCCGCCCCUGG